AGACACCUGGCAAGGGAGACACCAUGAUCACGCAGGUGGUUUUCCCUGGGCAAGGCUCACCCAUUGGAGUCCGGGUGUGCUGACUCCUGUGAUUUCCCCGAAUGUGGGAAACUGGACUGCAUAAUUUGUGGUAGUGGGGGACUGCGUUCUCGCUCUCCCCUG
ensembl:snRNA U1 U1 spliceosomal RNA